GGCUCAGACAGCCAGGAUGUUGGCUUAGAAGCAGCCAUCAUUUAAAGAAAGCGUAAUAGCUCACUGGUCGAGUCGGCCUGCGCGGAAGAUUUAACGGGGCUAAGCUAUACACCGAAGCUGCGGCAAUAUGAAUUCGUUCAUAUUGGGUAGGGGAGCGUUCUGUAAGCCGUUGAAGGUGCAUUGUAAAGUGUGCUGGAGGUAUCAGAAGUGCGAAUGCUGACAUGAGUAACGAUAAAGGGAGUGAAAAACUCCCUCGCCGGAAGAUCAAGGGUUCCUGUCCAACGUUAAUCGGGGCAGGGUAAGUCGACCCCUAAGGCGAGGCCGAAAGGCGUAGUCGAUGGGAAACGGGUUAAUAUUCCCGUACUUCUUAUAAUUGCGAUGGAGGGACGGAGAAGGCUAGGUGAGCCUGGCGACGGUUGUCCAGGUCCAAGUAUGUAGGCUGAUGGUUUAGGCAAAUCCGGACCAUCUUAAGGCUGAGAUACGAUGUCGAGCUACUACGGUAGUGAAGUCAUUGAUGCCAUGCUUCCGGGAAAAGCUUCUAAGCGUCAGAUUAUAAGAAAUCGUACCCCAAACCGACACAGGUGAUCAGGUAGAGAAUACCAAGGCGCUUGAGAGAACUCGGGUGAAGGAACUAGGCAAAAUGGUACCGUAACUUCGGGAGAAGGUACGCUC
rnacentral:rRNA from 1 species